CGGAAGCCUGACGGAGCAAGACCGCGUGAGGGAAGACGGCCUACUGGUUGUAAACCUCUUUUGUUAGGGAAGAAGGACUGACGGUACCUAACGAAUCAGCAUCGACUAACUCCGUGCCAGCAGCCGCGGUAAUACGGAGGAUGCAAGCGUUAUCCGGAAUUAUUGGGCGUAAAGCGUCCGCAGGUGGUUGUACAAGUCUGCUGUCAAAGCGCGAGGCUUAACUUCGUAAGGGCAGUGGAAACUGUGCGACUAGAGUACGGUAGGGGUAGCGGGAAUUCCCAGUGUAGCGGUGAAGUGCGUAGAUAUUGGGAAGAACACCAGCGGCGAAAGCGCGCUACUGGGCCUGUACUGACACUCAUGGACGAAAGCUAGGGGAGCG
rnacentral:rRNA from 1 species